GUGUGGAGUGACUGUAGCAUUAGUGGAGGAUCUGCCAGUGGUUAGUGUUGAUUUCCUUUUAGGGAAUGAUCUGGCAGGAAGGAAAGUUUGUGUGCAGUCUUUAUCUGUGGAUGCGGCCUGGGUGUGGAAACUGUUGAUGUAUCUAUGUUUGUUCUGUUACUCACCUUAAGGUGAGGUGAGCAUGCUGGCAUCAGGUGCUUGCAGGUUUUGUGACUCCUGGGGAAAACUGCAAUAAGGCAGGGAUGCCACAAAAGAAGUGCAGUAUUUGUAUUGAUGCUGCAGUGGAGGCAGAGUGCCCAGAUACCUGUCCUGCUGCUGGUGAGGGUCUGAGCAAGUUAGUGUUGGACUUGUGUUUGAGUCAGCGUGCUGGGGCUGACUGCAGAAGCACAGAGCCACUGCAGAAGGCAUCUGACUUUGAUGAAAGUGUUGCUGAGGGGUGAGGCUGGAGUGAUGGGCUUAGAUUGUUUGUUUGAUAGUUUGCCUCACCCUGCGGAGCCUCUCAGAGGUGAUGCUCAGGCCGAGUUGUCACCUGGAGUUGAGGCUGUGGGCGCUGGUACUCAGUCUGCACCCCAGUCUGUUGUGUCUGGUAUGUUGGGGGGUUGCUGCCAAAGGCUGGGAGACUCCCGACUCUGCUGGGGAGGAGGGAGUUUCCUCCUCUGUGGAGUGUACUUGAGGUCAGGAGCAGGCUGCUCCUGUGCCAGCACCAGACAUGUUGGGUGUUUGCUCACAUAGUGAGCCACCUGUGUUGACAGCUGCUGCUACAGCUGUUAGCAUACCCACGGAGAGUUCUGCCCCUCGAGUAUGUGCUGACUCAUUACUGGCCAAGGCAGGAGUGGCUGGUAAGGAAGUAUUUGCAGGUGUUAGUAAUAUUUUGAGUAGUCAGUGGAGAAAGGAGGACAGAGGUUUGUUGCUCUAUUUUGUUCAGCCAUCCACAGUCAAGGAGGCACAGGUGCUGAUAGCAUGUAUUGGCCUGGUGUUCGACCAUUUUGGAGUCAGGCUGACUUGGGAGCAGUUGAGGUGGUUUUGGUGGUUGGAUGUGGCCAUGUUUGUUGGGUGUAACUGCGUGGGUUGGGCUGGCAAGCCUGAUGGCCUUCUCCCCUGUAUUAUGUUGAGUGUUGUUUCCCAUAGUGUGAGAAUUGUGAGUGAUUUUGCUUGCCCAAUUCCUCCUCCCUGAGACAGAUGAUGAGGUAGCUGGCACGAGCAUUGUGGUACCACAUUGAGGGGCAGCAAUGAGUGAGGCUGCUUGUGUUAGUGUGUUGCUUGCUGCUCAGAAAGCACCCUCAGUGUUGCUCAGGCCUUCAUUUGGUGGCAUUGCUGGUGCUGAUUGUCAGGUGCUAGGCCCAAGUAGGGUAGUGUUUGAUGAUGGAUGUCUGCACCUCAAAGCAACAAGGCAUCGGGUUUGAUGAGAAAUGACUGCACACGGAAGUAGUUGUUGGGACCAGUGGGUCUGGCCCAGGGGCACACUGGCCAGGCUCAUGUUGGAGCUGGUGUUUGUUGUAUUGUGUUGGCCAUGUGCGUGAGUUUGACUCCAUGUGCAGGAAUGGAUGUGCUGCAUCCUGGAAAGGAGCAGCUAUCAGCUCAAAAAGAAGAAAUUUCUGUGUCAUCAAGUGGCCAGCAGGAGGAAUGUGUGAUAGUAUAGCUGUACCUGAAUAGUGAGAAGCAGGCUUGGUCAUGUCACCCCCCCAGAAGGCACCUCUUGUUUUUGCUGAGGAAGUGGCAUUCUUAUUUUGUCAGUUUUAUGGGUGUGGCAUGGAGGCUCCACAGAAUGAGGAGUGGGUAAACAGGAUUGAGGCUGUGGGCAGUGAAAGCCUGGAGGAGAGAGUAGUGUGUUCUCUGGUGAGGAGACUUGAGGGGACCAGCGAGUUGAAUGUGUUUGGCUGCCCAGAAGGGAGGUUUGUUUGGCCAAGAAGGGGAUUGCUUGGUGGUACUGUGACAAUGCACCAGGAGGCUAUGGUCCCUGAUGGGCUCUUUGAGUGUUGCAAAGGCACAGGGAUGUCAUUGUUUGGUGACUGAUGUUUGUACAAUGUGGAGAAGAUGCAGGAGUAGACUGUGUAGCAGAGGGAGCAGGAGAGGUGAGAGUAGAUGGAAAAGUGCUGAAGGCAGAGGAAAGAGAUGAUGGAGAUGGAGGAAGAAAGAUGAGUCAUGGGAGCAGUUGGGGCAGCUGUAGCUGCAGGAGAAGAGAUACAGAAAUGAUAUCCUACAAGGAAAAGCCUGCACAUUGAUGUAGCUGGGGAGAUCACAGGUUCUGGUGGAGAGCCAGAGACAGGUCUCAAAGGAGGAGGAGAAAGAAAUGGCAGUUUGAGUAUGGAAGGCCCAGGUGGAGCCCUGUUGUUGCUACUUUUGAUAACUGUUCAUACUGAUGUUUUUGUAGCUUCCGUAUUGUGAUUUGUGCAUGCCUCUAUUUUGACUCUGAUGCAAAUUGCCCCAGUUAGUCAUGUGUUGAGUUUGAAUUUGUUGUUUUCCAAAAUUUUGAUAAGCUUUGUAUUUCCAAAAAAACUUGUUUAUAGGAGGGCAUGUUAUGUGGGGCAUAAGCAUCGAAGAGAAUGUGAGGAGUCAGGUGGAGCUAGACGCAUCGUGAUGUUCAGCUGCUUAGUGUGGGGUUUGAUGGGAAGUGUUUGCUUUGGAACGAGAGAGAUUUUGGCAUGGAACAUGGACACUUGAGGCGUUGUUUUAGAGAUCUGGAUUGUGUGGCUUUGUCAGCAUAGUAGGAGUUUCACGGUGAUGCUUAAGGACCGUAGCCGCAGUCGUCUUCACCAGUGUGUGCCUGUCUACUGGAGGAGUGGUGUAGUGUAUGGCCAUCCUGAGCCCUAUCAGUCUGUGGUGACAAGAGGGAGACGCCUGUCAUCACUCAGCAGGGGAAAAGAAGCAUUCGUGUGAACGAGGGUUGCCCGUGGUGUCCCUCAACUGGAAAUUUUGAGGUGUAUAAGUUUCAUUUAGUUAUUUCUUCUUUUUUUUGGUUGUGAGUUUACACGAGUUGUGUAUUGAUUUAUUUUGAUAUCCAUUAAAGUGUUAUUUAUAUG